AAGGACGGUCCAUUGAGUUGCCCAGUCUGAGAGGGGAGGUGACCAGCACGAAGCUCUUUAGCUGGACUUUGCUUAGAAAGAGAAACCUCUGUGACAGGAGAUGUAAUCCAAGCCUUUGGCUGUUCUGGAGAAGAGAGAAACCGAUGGAGGCAGACAGGAGACCAGAAUGGCUACUCUCUGAUGAAGUUGGUGGCGCUGUGGAGGAGGACCGCCGCCUCCUGGACGAGGACCGGGACCGCUCGGCAUUGAGUGAUGAAAGAGCUUGCCUCAUCUUUGUUCAUGAAGUAUCCAAGCAAGGGUCAUGUGUAAAUAUUAAUCAAGGAUGUUUCCGAGUCUCAUAUGUGUGCUUCCCAGCUUAAAUGUGUGAUAUAUAUUCUCCCAGAGUAAGUAAUCGUAUAGUUGGCACAGAAUGCCUGAAGUUUGAGGUCACCAGACCAGAAACCUCCAGCAACUUAUACAUGCAGAGGAAGUACUGGACUCAGCAAGUCUGAAGGAGGGUCCAGAGCUGGUCCCUUGGCUGAGUUUCUACUAACCUGGAAAGCUGACCUAGAGUAGCCCUAUUUGAUUGGACUCCCUUUCGCUGCUCCCUGAACUUAAAGCAUCUCGCUUUGUUGCUGCUUAGACUGCCUGUGAUGUAGAACGGGUAGAAAAAGCCUACUUAAGCUGCAGCUGCCAGAAUAAAAGGAAAAUAUCAUGAUUUUGGAUCACAUUUCCAUAGCAGCAAUCAGACUACUAAAAUUCACAAAUAAAGGAUCCGCUUGGGUGCAUGCAGCCGGUAGAGAAUUCUGCAAAUGUUGAAGGAGCGGCUCACACAACUUACUUCCGAGCUCUAUUUUCAUUUUGUUGAAAUAAAAAGACAAAACAAAAGAAAAGAAACUGUGAAAUACUCUGGAACAAAAUAACACAGUGUGGUGUUCAGUGGUGCACAAGGGGCUCGAUUCAUUGGCUGGAAGAUCCUGUUAAG